rnacentral:rRNA from 1 species
AACGAACGCUGGCGGUGCGCCUAACACAUGCAAGUCGAACGGGGUUGCAGUGUGAAACUUGCUUCGGCAGGUGGAACGCUGUAACUUAGUGGCGAACGGGUGAGUAACACAUAGGUAACCAACCCUAAGGAUCGGGAUACCCCCGAGAAAUCGGGCUCAAUACCGAAUAUUAUCCCAGGGAAUAAUUUUCUGGGAUGAAAGCUCCGAGCAAUCGUGGCACCUGAGGAUGGGCCUGUGGCCUAUCAGCUAGUUGGUGAGGUAACGGCCCACCAAGGCUAAGACGGGUAGCCGGACUGAGAGGUCGAUCGGCCACACUGGAACUGAGACACGGUCCAGACUCCUACGGGAGGCAGCAGUGAGGAAUUUUGCGCAAUGGGCGAAAGCCUGACGCAGCGACACCGCGUGGAGGAAGAAGGCCCUUGGGUUGUAAACUCCUGUCAGAGGUGAAGAAUGUCCCCUCGGGGAUUUGACGGUAACCUCAGAGGAAGCCCCGGCUAACUACGUG